GAUUAACGCUGGCGGCGUGCAUGAGACAUGCAAGUCGAACGGGUGCCUCGGGCUUGCUCGAGGCACUAGUGGCGAACGGCUGAGUAACACGUAGGUGACCUGCCCCGAAGUGGGGAAUAACUGCCCGAAAGGGUGGCUAAUACCGCAUGUGGUCGCACGUUCGGUCGUGCGAGUAAAGCCGCAAGGCGCUUCGGGAGGGGCCUGCGUCCGAUUAGCUCGUUGGUGGGGUAAUGGCUCACCAAGGCGACGAUCGGCAGGUGGUCUGAGAGGACGAUCACCCAGACUGGGACUGAGACACGGCCCAGACUCCUACGGGAGGCAGCAGUCGGGAAUUUUGCUCAAUGGGCGGAAGCCUGAAGCAGCAACGCCGCGUGAGGGAUGAAGGCCUUCGGGUUGUAAACCUCUUUUCUCAGGGACGAUGAUGACGGUACCUGAGGAAUAAGCCACGGCAAACUACGUGCCAGCCGCCGCGGUAAGAC
rnacentral:rRNA from 1 species